AUCCAGCUGACGAGCCCCAAAUAGGACGAAACGUGCAUCAAACUGGAU
rnacentral:hammerhead_ribozyme from 1 species